rnacentral:sRNA from 1 species
UUACCAAAGCAACGCGUAUAAUGUUAUC